rnacentral:rRNA from 1 species
AUGAACGCUGGCGGCGUGGAUAAGGCAUGCAAGUCGGACGAUUUCCUUUUUGAAGAAGAUGCGAUUACAUCAAGUCAACUGAUAUUUUGGAGAUAGUGGCGAACGAGCUAGUAACACCUUGGUACGUACCCAAAAGUUUGGUAUAGCUCGCCGAAAGGCGGGGUAAUCCCAAAUAAUCCCUCUAUCUAUCGGGUAGAAGGGUAAAGUCGCAAGACGCUUUUGGAGCGGCCUAGGACCGAUCAGUUAGUUGGUGAGGUAAUGGCUCACCAAGACGAUGACCGGUAGGGG